rnacentral:rRNA from 1 species
GACGGAGGGUGCGAGCGUUGUUCGGAUUGACUGGGCGUAAAGGGCGUGUAGGCGGUUGGCCAAGUCCGAUGUGAAAGCCCGAGGCUCAGCCUCGGAAGUGCAUCAGAAACUAGUCAGCUAGAGCGCGAUAGAGGAGGGUGGAAUUCCUGGUGUAGCGGUGAAAUGCGUAGAUAUCAGGAGGAACACCGGCGGCGAAGGCGGCCCUCUGGAUCGUUGCUGACGCUGAGACGCGAAAGCGUGGGGAGCAAACAGG